rnacentral:rRNA from 1 species
AAGCCUGAUGCAGCAUGCCGCGUGUAUGAAGAAGGCUUCGGAUUGUAAAGUACUUUCAGCUAGGAGGAAGGCAUUGUGAUUAAUAACCUCAUUGAUUGACGUUACUCACAGAAUAAGCACCGGCUAACUCCGUGCCAGCAGCCGCGGUAAA